CCUCUUGCAAGUCGAACGGUAGCACAAAGAGCUUGCUCUCGGGUGACGAGUGGCGGACGGGUGAGUAAUGUCUGGCCAACUGCCUGAUGGAGGGGGAUAACUACUGGAAACGGUAGCUAAUACCGCAUAACGUCCCAAGACCAAAGAGGGGGACCUUCGGGCCUCUUGCCAUCAAAUGUGCCCAGAUGGGAUUAGCUAGUAGGUGGGGUAACGGCUCACCUAGGCAACAAUCCCUAGCUGGUCUGAGAGGAUGACCACCCACACUGGAACUGAAACACGGUCCAAACUCCUACGGGAGGCAGCAGUGGGGAAUAUUGCACAAUGGGCGCAAGCCUGAUGCAGCCAUGCCGCGUGUAUGAAAAAGGCCUUCGGUUUGUAAAGUACUUUCAGCGGGGAGGAAGGUGUUGAGGUUAAUAACCUCAGCAAUUGACGUUCCCCGCAAAAAAAGCACCGGCUAACUCCGUGCCAC
rnacentral:rRNA from 1 species